rnacentral:rRNA from 1 species
UUCAGAGGGUGCGAGCGUUAAUCGGAGUAACUGGGCGUAAAGGGCGCGUAGGCGGUAGGACAAGUUUACUGUGAAAGACCUGGGCUUAACCUGGGGGUGCCAGUAAAUACUGUUCAACUAGAGUAGAGCAGAGGGAAGUGGAAUUUCCGGCGUAGCGGUAAAAUGCGUAGAUAUCGGAAGGAACAUCAGUGGCGAAGGCGGCUUUCUGGGUUCAUACUGACGCUGAGGCGCGAAAGCAUGGGUAGCAAAC